UAAAGUGGCUAUAGUCCUGAAUGCACCCAACCUUGUCUGAUCUUGUGAAGCUAAGCAGGUUUGGGCCUGGUUAGUACUUGGAUGGGAGACCACCUAGGAAUACCAGGUGCUGUAGGCA
rnacentral:rRNA from 1 species